UACGGGGGGGGGCAAGCGUUGUUCGGAAUUACUGGGCGUAAAGCGUACGUAGGCGGCUUUGUAAGUUAGAGGUGAAAGCCCGGGGCUCAACUCCGGAACUGCCUUUAAGACUGCAUCGCUAGAACGUCGGAGAGGUGAGUGGAAUUCCGAGUGUAGAGGUGAAAUUCGUAGAUAUUCGGAAGAACACCAGUGGCGAAGGCGACUCACUGGACAUGUAUUGACGCUGAGGUGCGAAAGCGUGGGGAGCAAACAGG
rnacentral:rRNA from 1 species